rnacentral:rRNA from 1 species
UGGGGAAUAUUGCACAAUGGGCGCAAGCCUGAUGCAGCCAUGCCGCGUGUAUGAAGAAGGCCUUCGGGUUGUAAAGUACUUUCAGCGAGGAGGAAGGCGUUGUGGUUAAUAACCGCAGCGAUUGACGUUACUCGCUGAAGAAGCACCGGCUAACUCCGUGCCAGCAGCCGCGGUAAUACGGAGGGUGCACGCGUUAAUCAGAACUACUGGGUGUAAAGCGCACGCAGGCGGUCUGUCAAGUCGGAUGUGAAAUCCCCGGGCUCAACCUGGGAACUGCAUCCGAAACUGGCAGGCUAGAGUAUUGUAGAGGGGGGUAGAAUUCCAGGUGUAGCGGUGAAAUGCGUAGAGAUCUGGAGGAAUACCGGUGGCGAAGGCGGCCCCCUGGACAAAGACUGACGCUCAGGUGCGAAAGCGUGGGGAGCAAACA